UACGUAGGGGGCGAGCGUUGUCCGGAUUUACUGGGCGUAAAGCGCGUGUAGGCGGAGACUUAAGUCUGGUGGGAAAGCCCCCGGCUCAACCGGGGAAGUUCGCUGGAAACUGGGUCUCUUGAGGGGGACAGAGGAAGGUGGAAUUGCUGGUGUAGCGGUGAAAUGCGUAGAGAUCAGCAGGAACACCCGUGGCGAAGGCGGCCUUCUGGGUCUCCCCUGACGCUGAGACGCGAAAGCGUGGGGAGCGAACGGG
rnacentral:rRNA from 1 species